rnacentral:rRNA from 1 species
AUACGUAGGUGGCAAGCGUUGUCCGGAUUUAUUGGGCGUAAAGCGCGCGCAGGCGGCUAUGUAAGUCUGGUGUUAAAGCCCGGGGCUCAACCCCGGUUCGCAUCGGAAACUGUGUAGCUUGAGUGCAGAAGAGGAAAGCGGUAUUCCACGUGUAGCGGUGAAAUGCGUAGAGAUGUGGAGGAACACCAGUGGCGAAGGCGGCUUUCUGGUCUGUAACUGACGCUGAGGCGCGAAAGCGUGGGGAGCAAACAGGAUUAUAUACCCUGGUAUUCCACGCCGUAAACGAUGAGUGCUAGGUGUUAGGGGUUUCAAUACCCUUAGUGCCGCAGCUAACGCAAUAAGCACUCCGCCUGGGGAGUACGGUCGCAAGACUGAAACUCAAAUGAAUUGACGGGG